rnacentral:rRNA from 1 species
ACGGCAGUACCAUGCUGAAUAUACCGGUUCUCGUUAGAUCACCGAAGUCAAGCAUCAUUGGGCGCGGUCAGUACUUGGGUGGGUGACCACCUGGGAACACCAAGUGCUGUU